rnacentral:rRNA from 1 species
UACGUAGGGUGCAAGCGUUAUCCGGAAUUAUUGGGCGUAAAGAGCUCGUAGGCGGUUUGUCACGUCUGCUGUGAAAAACUGGAGGCUCAACCUCCAGCCUGCAGUGGGUACGGGCAGACUAGAGUGCGGUAGGGGAGAUUGGAAUUCCUGGUGUAGCGGUGGAAUGCGCAGAUAUCAGGAGGAACACCGAUGGCGAAGGCAGGUCUCUGGGCUGUAACUGACGCUGAGGAGCGAAAGCAUGGGGAGCGAACAGG